rnacentral:tRNA from 1 species
AGUAGCUCAGCAGGAUAGAGCAACGGCCUUCUAAGCCGUGGGUCGGGGGUUCGAAUCCCUUCU